UCAAGCUAAUAAGAGCACAGGGUGGAUGCCCAGGCACCAAACGCCGACGAAAGACGUGGCAAGCUGCGAAAAGUCACGGGGAACCGCAAGCAGGUAUUGAUCCGUGAACGUCUGAAUGGGGAAACCCGGCGGGUUAACAGCCCGUCACUAUUAACUGAAUCAAUAGGUUAAUAGGGGGAACGCGGGGAACUGAAACAUCUCAGUACCCGUAGGAAGAGAAAAUAAAGAAUGAUUUCCUAAGUAGCGGCGAGCGAACGGGAAAGAGGCCAAACCGAAGGGCUUGCUCUUCGGGGUUGUGGAUCAGCAAAAAGGACGGAAGACCUUAGCAGAAGAGGAUUGGAAAGUCCCGCCAGAGAGGGUAAAAGCCCCUUACGCGAAAAGGUCAAACGACGAGCUGACACCAGAGUACCGCAGGACACGAGAAAUCCGGUGGGAAGCCGGGAGGACCACCUCCCAAGCCUAAAUACGAAUUGGUGACCGAUAGCGCAUAGUACCGUGAGGGAAAGGUGAAAAGAACCCCGGGAGGGGAGUGAAAAAGAACCUGAAACCCUGUGUUUACAAGCAGUGAAAGUGCGAGCAAGGCACGAUCACGUACUUUUUGUAGAACGGACCGGCGAGUUACGUUAUGCAGCAAGGUUAAGAACUGAAGGUUCGGAGCCGAAGCGAAAGCGAGUCUGAACAGGGCGAAAGUUGCAUGACGUAGACCCGAAACCGGGUGACCUAUCCAUGAGCAGGUUGAAGUGGAGGUAAAGCUCCAUGGAGGACCGAACCAGACGUCUGUUGAAAAAGGCGGGGAUGACUUGUGGAUAGGGGAGAAAUUCCAAUCGAACCCGGAGAUAGCUGGUUCUCCUCGAAAUAGCUUUAGGGCUAGCCUCAUGGAUCAUUGAUGGGGGUAGAGCACUGAAUGUGCGCGGGGGCCACAAAGCCUACCAAACGCUAUCAAACUUCGAAUACCAUACAAUGCAGACCAUGGGAGUCAGUCCGCGAGAGAUAAGUUCCGCGGGCAAAAGGGGAACACCCCAGAUCAACCGCUAAGGUCCCCAAGUUCACGUUAAGUGGAGAAGGAUGUGGAAUUGCACAGACAACCAGGAUGUUGGCUCAGAAGCAGCCACACAUUUAAAGAGUGCGUAAUAGCUCACUGGUCGAGUGAUUGUGCGCCGAAGAUGUCCGGGGCUAAACGUGACACCGAAGCGAUGGGUGCAUCUGAAAGGAUGCGCGGUAGAGGAGCAAUGUGCAGAGGCAGAAGCCGUAUCGAGAGGCACGGUGGACACUGCACAAGAGAGAAUGCCGGUAUGAGUAGCGAGAGGCAUGCGAGAAACAUGCCCGUCGAAAGCCCAAGGUUUCCUGGGGAAGGUUCAUCCGCCCAGGGUAAGUCGGGGCCUAAGCCGAGGACGGAAGUCGUAGGCGAUGGACAGCAGGUGUAGAUUCCUGCACUACCGAUGGAAUGAAGCAGUGACACAGAAGGAUAACUCGAGCAGGGUGAUGGUCAACCCUGUGCAAGCAUUGAGGUUGGGUUGUAGUGAAGUACGCAAUCCUAUAAGCUGAGAUGUGAUGCGGACCGAAAUUUCAGUAGGGAAGCGAGUGAGUUCACGCUGGCGAGAAAAGCUGCUAGUAUAUCCAAAGGUACCCGUACCGGAAACCGACGCAGGUGGGCGAGGAGAGAAUCCUGAGACGAACGGGAGAACCCUUGUUAAGGAACUCGGCAAAAUGACCCCGUAACUUCGGGAUAAGGGGUGCCUGCGAGAGCAGGCCGCAGAGAAUAGUCACAAGCGACUGUUUAGCAAAAACACAGGUAUCUGCGAAAGCGAGAGCUGACGUAUAGGUGCUGACACCUGCCCGGUGCUGGAAGGUUAAGGGAACAUGUUAGAGCAAUCGAAGCAUCGAACCGAAGCCCCAGUAAACGGCGGCCGUAACUAUAACGGUCCUAAGGUAGCGAAAUUCCUUGUCGGGUAAGUUCCGACCCGCACGAAUGGUGUAACGAUCUGGGCACUGUCUCAACUACCCGCCCGGCGAAAUUGUAGUACCGGUGAAGAUGCCGGUUACCCGCGACAAGACGGAAAGACCCCAUGGAGCUUUACUGUAGCCUAAUAUUGGGUUUCGAUGUUGCAUGCACAGGAUAGAUGGGACUCUGGGAAACCAAGGCUUUGGCUUUGGCGGAGAGGCCGUUGGGAUACCAUCCUUGCGAUAUUGGAAUUCUAACCUGCGGCUCUGAAUCGAGUCGGGGGACAUUGUUAGGUGGGCAGUUUGACUGGGGCGGUCGCCUCCUAAAGAGUAACGGAGGCG
rnacentral:rRNA from 1 species